GGCUGGCUCAGUGGUAGAACACUUGCCUGGCAUGUAUGAGGUCCUGGGUUUGAUCCUCAGCACCA
rnacentral:tRNA from 1 species